UAGCAUAUCAAUAAGCGGAGGAAAAGAAACCAACAGGGAUUGCCCUAGUAACGGCGAGUGAAGCGGCAACAGCUCAAAUUUGAAAUCUGGCGUCUUCGGCGUCCGAGUUGUAAUUUGCAGAGGGCGCUUUGGCAUUGGCAGCGGUCCAAGUUCCUUGGAACAGGACGUCACAGAGGGUGAGAAUCCCGUACGUGGUCGCUAGCCUUUACCGUGUAAAGCCCCUUCGACGAGUCGAGUUGUUUGGGAAUGCAGCUCUAAAUGGGAGGUAAAUUUCUUCUAAAGCUAAAUACUGGCCAGAGACCGAUAGCGCACAAGUAGAGUGAUCGAAAGAUGAAAAGCACUUUGGAAAGAGAGUUAAAAAGCACGUGAAAUUGUUGAAAGGGAAGCGCUUGCAGCCAGACUUGCCUGUAGUUGCUCAUCCGGGUUUCUACCCGGUGCACUCUUCUGCGGGCAGGCCAGCAUCAGUUUGGGCGGUUGGAUAAAGGUCUCUGUCAUGUACCUCUCUUCGGGGAGAUCUUAUAGGGGAGACGACAUGCAACCAGCCUGGACUGAGGUCCGCGCAUCUGCUAGGAUGCUGGCGUAAUGGCUGUAAGCGGCCCGUCUUGAAACACGGACCAAGGAGUCUAACAUCUAUGCGAGUGUUUGGGUGUCAAGCCCGAGCGCGUAAUGAAAGUGAACGGAGGUGGGAACCUUUCGGGGUGCACCAUCGACCGAUCCUGAUGUCUUCGGAUGGAUUUGAGUAAGAGCAUAGCUGUUGGGACCCGAAAGAUGGUGAACUAUGCUUGAAUAGGGUGAAGCCAGAGGAAACUCUGGUGGAGGCUCGCAGCGGUUCUGACGUGCAAAUCGAUCGUCAAAUUUGGGCAUAGGGGCGAAAGACUAAUCGAACUAUCU
rnacentral:rRNA from 1 species